rnacentral:rRNA from 1 species
UACGUAGGGAGCAAGCGUUGUCCGGAUUUAUUGGGCGUAAAGAGCUCGUAGGCGGCUUAGAAAGUCAGGUGUGAAAACUCUGGCUUAACCCAGAGACGCCACUUGAUACUUCUAUGGCUUGAGUUCGGUAGGGGACCAUGGAAUUCCUGGUGUAGCGGUGAAAUGCGCAGAUAUCAGGAGGAACACCGAUGGCGAAGGCAGUGGUCUGGGCCGAUACUGACGCUGAGGAGCGAAAGCGUGGGGAGCAAACAGG